GAACGCGUCGAAGCGUUACUCGGAAUUACUGGGCGUAAAGCGUGCGUAGGUGGUUCGUUAAGUCUGUCGUGAAAGCCCCGGGCUCAACCUGGGAAUGGCGAUGGAUACUGGCGGGCUAGAGUGCGGUAGAGGAGAGUGGAAUUCCCGGUGUAGCAGUGAAAUGCGUAGAGAUCGGGAGGAACAUCAGUUGCGAAGGCGGCUCUCUGGACCAGCACUGACACUGAGGCACGAAAGCGUGGGGAGCAAACAGGAUUAGAUACCCUGGUAGUCCACGCCCUAAACGAUGCGAACUGGACGUUGGGAGCAACUAGGCUCUCAGUGUCGAAGCUAACGCGUUAAGUUCGCCGCCUGGGGAGUACGGUCGCAAGACUG
rnacentral:rRNA from 1 species